rnacentral:tmRNA from 1 species
AAAAAAAAAUAAACGCUGAAGAUAAUUUAGCACUCGCUGCCUAAUAUGGCAGCUGUCAGACCUGGCGCACCUACACGCUAGGACCCUGGCAUCGACUAUGUAGGAAACGAUGCAUCCUAAGCUUUGCGGAUGUAGGCGUAUUAUGAAGCUACUAAGGCUCAAAGCGUGUCUGCUUGCGAUGAGCUGAGGGAAUGGCGAAAGCAAAAUAACAGACUGUAAUGGGAGAUGCCGUAAUGGAUGGGUUUUCGGACAGGGGUUCGACUCCCCUCAGGUCCACUU